UGAGCUUGAUCCUGGCUCAGAUUGAACGCUGGCGGCAGGCCUAACACAUGCAAGUCGAGCGGAAACGAUGGAAGCUUGCUUCCAGGCGUCGAGCGGCGGACGGGUGAGUAAUGCAUAGGAAUCUGCCCGAUAGUGGGGGAUAACGUGGGGAAACCCACGCUAAUACCGCAUACGUCCUACGGGAGAAAGCAGGGGAUCUUCGGACCUUGCGCUAUCGGAUGAGCCUAUGUCGGAUUAGCUAGUUGGUGAGGUAAUGGCUCACCAAGGCGACGAUCCGUAGCUGGUCUGAGAGGAUGAUCAGCCACACUGGGACUGAGACACGGCCCAGACUCCUACGGGAGGCAGCAGUGGGGAAUAUUGGACAAUGGGGGAAACCCUGAUCCAGCCAUGCCGCGUGUGUGAAGAAGGCCUUCGGGUUGUAAAGCACUUUCAGCGAGGAAGAAGGCCUGAGGGUUAAUACCCUUCAGGAAGGACAUCACUCGCAGAAGAAGC
rnacentral:rRNA from 1 species